CCUCUCCUCCCCUCCUCUGUCCCCCGCUCAGCCACCUCCACCACCCCCACCCUAAUCUCCAUCGCCGAAUCUGCUGCAGAUCAUCAAGGUUCCACGACGCGCGCGUGCUCGUCAAGGAAGCAUCUCGUGGAUCUGCACUUGUGCGGCCACGACGGAAGGGGCUCGAGGUGGCCGCCUGCCGCCGCCGAAGACCAAGCCCCCACCUUGUCCAGAAUCGCAUCCUACACCAUGUUCCAGUGAGGAAGGCGGGGCGGCACAGAUAGGGUCCUCACCCAGCCGUGCGGUCGACCACUAUGACGCGGCCGUGCGGUGGGCAGAUGCAAUGUUGCGGCAGCGAGGUGGGGGCGGCGACAUUCACUCGUGCGUAUCAUAGCUGGGGUGGCCCCGAUCUGGACUUGGCAGGCCUCUUUGACUGCAGCCGGAGCUCGAUGGGGCAUGGCACUGGUCUUGGCCGAGAUCCACCGCUGCCCGUCGUCUUCACCGUCCGUCAGUUCUUUGCUCCCCCAAUCCCGCUACCCUCCAUGGCGUCGUCUCCUACGAAGGUCACCGUUCAUCCUCGAAGAUCGCCGGCCUCCCUUGCACGGGAUCGCCGCGAUUGUCCACCAGGAAAGACAUCAUCGCUGCUGCCGUGCUAGGUAGCCGACCACCUUGUCUUUUAUAUAUUUUUUUGUAAUUGUACGGUGUACUGCAUGGCAUAUUGAUAAUUGUUUCUCCUCCAUCCACGCUCGCCUCAACACCGCUACCAUAAUAUUUGGUAAUAGUCAAUUUGCUCGAGGAGGCUAGCUGGGUGAAUUAUUGUACAUAUUAUGUGUGGAGCAGGAUGCAGGGACAGUGUCCACCACCUCUUCAUGUUGGGAUUCCUCUCAUAAUAUAUUUCAAGUGAUUCGCAUAAGGCCAUCGGCCCAUACCUCGCCAAGGUAAUCAGUAAUCACGGCCCCCUCGACGCUGGUGGUGACAGAUCCUAAUCCUUCCCAAGCAUCAGUAAAGAUUGAUGUGGUCUGUUUAUUAAGUUGUAUAUGUUUCCUUUACCUGCAUUUUUGUCUCCUAUUAGUUUACGGUAUUGAUGUGUGAAUCAAGUUCAGGAUCUUAGACGAUGUUGUGAGUGGUGUAGCCCAAGCUUGGUUUAUUCAUUUGUCUUUCUUAAUUCUGUUAUUGAUAUUCUUUGUGUCAUGGACGACCUUCCGCAUAUUUAUAUAUACCUCACCAAACACAAAUGGAUGAGAAUAUCAACUAAGGAAUACAAAAGUUGAAGGUCCAUGAUAGACAACAAUGAUGUAUCUUUUAGGUUAUUGAGCAGGUCAUGUUUUUUUUUCUUCUCCAAAUAUUUUCAGAUAUCUUGAGGCUUUUGCAUCUUUCUACGUGCGACCUAUGGCGCUCAAGGUCUGAUCCUAUUGCCUUGGUAGUUGGAGCGGCAUCGUGGCAUUACUUGUGGUGGUGGUGGUUGGCGAGCACCUGGAGCCGUUGUACUUGCUAGAACCAUUAAACGGGAGCAGCAACACGGAAUGGGAACACAACCUCUAUGUCGGGGUGGUUCUGUGCAUGUGCUCUAAUAAGUCGACAUGCUCUGCGAACUUGCCCAUUGUCUCCAGGACAGCUACGACAUGCGCCCCCGACUGAGAGCCGCCCCUCCUUAUCCCUCUACUCUCACCGCCGCCGUGCCCAGGCGCACCCACUAUGUUCUACAAUAUUGCGAGUUGAGGGAGAGCGGCCAGCUGCCUGGCGGGUGCAGCGGCGAGCACAACGUGGAAGAGCCUGAUAGUCCGUCCGCUACCAGCUUACUGGCCAAUUCUUUGAUCGUCGUGCUGCUCCGUGCAACGGCUAGCUGGUGAAAGCAGUGUGCAUAAGUAGUAUUUCUCAUGUUUAUUGUAUCGAUCAACAGAUUGACUGUCAGGUCCUUCCCUACAGAAUCUUUAGAAAAGAAAAAAACUACAAGGGAAGUACAUAUGAAAAUACUGCAGUCUGCAGUCAACAUCUCUUUUGCCAGUUUGGUAUAACUUUUGUGGUUGUUUUAUAAUCCAUUGAGACCCAUGUUUGAUCACCAUAGCUACAUAGAAGAGCAGACCAUUGAUAUGUACAAUAUCAUUACUAUUUUAGCAGACAUGAGUUACAUUGUCAUCUUUUCAUGAAGAAAUGAUUAGUGUGAAGAAAACCCAAUUUUGAAAAUAGUGACAGUUCAACAUCAUAAGGAUGCCAAAUUGACAUAAGUUUAUGAUUGUUUGUCAGAAAGAAAUUUAUACAUGUGGUUUUUAUAUCGGUGUAAGUGUAUCUCUCCUGAUCUAUUUGUAGUAAAACUGACUUUGGUGUCAUGUUUUUUCUCAUAUUUUAGUGCUAAGUACAACCGUAAAGACCUUGGAAGGAGGUUUAUUUGUUUAUUAAUAUGUGUAGGUGACCACGAGCAGGAUGACCACUCAGCGUUUGAUACUGUCAAAUCCUUCUACCACAGAAAGGUAUGAGGCACACUUAGCAAGGAUGAGUACUCGGCGUUUGCUAUUGUCAAAUCCUUCUAACACAGCAAGGUCUGCCAACGUUAUAUAUUUUCUUAACAAGGAGUUAGGAAGAUAUUGAGCAUGGUAAAAGACAUUGUUUUGGACAAAUAUUAUGAGAAUAAAUUAUUUGGUUUUUCCCUUAGGUUUAAAUAAUAGUACUUCAAAUUUUUAGUUCUAUAAUUAAAGAAAACUUAAUUUAUGCACUUGUGUUGUUCACUUUCCAUCUACUUGGUUGAAUAGAAUCAUGUGCAUCUACUCAGUGAAUGGCUUGCUUGUUCACGUGAAUGCUUUCCAUCUACUCAGAAAACUGCCAGGAGCCAUCACUGAAGCUCUAUCUGAAGAUUACUGAAGAUUUGGACACUUGUACGUUCAUCCACAGCUCCAUACCUCUUCGCUGCGGCCAUUGACUGUGUAACCGACUGUGUAACCAUCCAUUUCUGAUCCUAGGGUCCUCAUAUCUUCUUGCUUUGUUGUUCUGUUUCUGGGAUAUAUGAGCUGUGUAAACCAAAGGGCAGGAAUAUAUUAUCUCUUGUAUUUGGGUUGAAGCCUAGACGCUCCAUGUUCUGGCUAGCAUAAAGAGGAUGUUUGGA